GUCUAAAUAGUUUAAAAAAAAUUUAAGUUUGUGGUACUUAAGAUGUAAAGGUUUACUUUGGACA
rnacentral:tRNA from 1 species